rnacentral:rRNA from 1 species
UACGUAGGGCGCAAGCGUUGUCCGGAAUUAUUGGGCGUAAAGAGCUCGUAGGCGGCCUGUUGCGUCCGCUGUGAAAUCCCGGGGCUUAACCCCGGGCUUGCAGUGGAUACGGGCAGGCUGGAGGCAGGCAGGGGAGAACGGAAUUCCCGGUGUAGCGGUGAAAUGCGCAGAUAUCGGGAGGAACACCGGUGGCGAAGGCAGCUCGCUGGGACGGUACUGACGCUGAGACGCGAAAGCGUGGGGAGCAAACAGG